rnacentral:rRNA from 1 species
GACGAACGCUGGCGGCGUGCUUAACACAUGCAAGUCGAACGGAAAGGCCCUGCUUUUGUGGGGUGCUCGAGUGGCGAACGGGUGAGUAACACGUGAGUAACCUGCCCUUGACUUUGGGAUAACUUCAGGAAACUGGGGCUAAUACCGGAUAGGAGCUCCUGCAGCAUGGUGGGGGUUGGAAAGUUUCGGCGGUUGGGGAUGGACUCGCGGCUUAUCAGCUUGUUGGUGGGGUAGUGGCUUACCAAGGCUUUGACGGGUAGCCGGCCUGAGAGGGUGACCGGCCACAUUGGGACUGAGAUACGGCCCAGACUCCUACGGGAGGCAGCAGUGGGGAAUAUUACACAAUGGGCGGAAGCCUGAUGCAGCAACGCCGCGUGCGGGAUGACGGCCUUCGGGUUGUAAACCGCUUUCGCCUGUGACGAAGCGUGAGUGACGGUAAUGGGUAAAGAAGCACCGGCUAACUACGUG